GACGUAGGGCGCGAGCGUUGUCCGGAUUUAUUGGGCGUAAAGAGCUCGUAGGCGGCUUGUCGCGUCGACUGUGAAAACCCGCGGCUCAACUGCGGGCCUGCAGCCGAUACGGGCAGGCUAGAGUUCGGUAGGGGAGACUGGAAUUCCUGGUGUAGCGGUGAAAUGCGUAGAUAUCUGGAGGAAUACCGGUGGCGAAGGCGGCAUCCUGGACCGAGAUUGACGCUGAGGAGCGAAAGCUAGGGGAGCAAACGGG
rnacentral:rRNA from 1 species